AUUGAACGCUGGCGGCAUGCUUUACACAUGCAAGUCGAACGGUAACAGGCCGCAGGGUGCUGACGAGUGGCGAACGGGUGAGUAAUGCAUCGGAACGUGCCCAGUCGUGGGGGAUAACGCAGCGAAAGCUGCGCUAAUACCGCAUACGAUCUAUGGAUGAAAGCGGGGGACCGUAAGGCCUCGCGCGAUUGGAGCGGCCGAUGUCAGAUUAGGUAGUUGGUGGGGUAAAGGCUCACCAAGCCGACGAUCUGUAGCUGGUCUGAGAGGACGACCAGCCACACUGGGACUGAGACACGGCCCAGACUCCUACGGGAGGCAGCAGUGGGGAAUUUUGGACAAUGGGCGCAAGCCUGAUCCAGCAAUGCCGCGUGCAGGAAGAAGGCCUUCGGGUUGUAAACUGCUUUUGUACAGAACGAAACGGUCCUGGUUAAUACCCGGGGCUAAUGACGGUACCGUAAGAAUAAGCACCGGCUAACUACGUGCCAGCCGCCGCGGUAAUAC
rnacentral:rRNA from 1 species